rnacentral:rRNA from 1 species
ACACAUGCAAGUCGAACGAAGCAUUUAGAACAGAUUACUUCGGUUUGAAGUUCUUUAUGACUGAGUGGCGGACGGGUGAGUAACGCGUGGGUAACCUGCCUUGUACUGGGGGAUAGCAGCUGGAAACGGCUGGUAAUACCGCAUAAGCGCACAAUGUUGCAUGACAUGGUGUGAAAAACUCCGGUGGUAUAAGAUGGACCCGCGUCUGAUUAGCUAGUUGGUGAGAUAACAGCCCACCAAGGCGACGAUCAGUAGCCGACCUGAGAGGGUGACCGGCCACAUUGGGACUGAGACACGGCCCAGACUCCUACGGGAGGCAGCAGUGGGGAAUAUUGCACAAUGGAGGAAACUCUGAUGCAGCGACGCCGCGUGAGUGAAGAAGUAAUUCGUUAUGUAAAGCUCUAUCAGCAGGGAAGAUAGUGACGGUACCUGACUAAGAAGCUCCGGCUAAAUACGUGCCAGCAGCCGCGGUAAUACGUAUGGAGCAAGCGUUAUCCGGAUUUACUGGGUGUAAAGGGAGUGUAGGUGGCCAUGCAAGUCAGAAGUGAAAAUCCGGGGCUCAACCCCGGAACUGCUUUUGAAACUGUAAGGCUGGAGUGCAGGAGGGGUGAGUGGAAUUCCUAGUGUAGCGGUGAAAUGCGUAGAUAUUAGGAGGAACACCAGUGGCGAAGGCGGCUCACUGGACUGUAACUGACACUGAGGCUCGAAAGCGUGGGGAGCAAACAGGAUUAGAUACCCUGGUAGUCCACGCCG